rnacentral:rRNA from 1 species
AGUGAACGCUGGCGGCGUGCUUAACACAUGCAAGUCGAACGGAUCAAAGUAGCUUGCUAUUUUGGUUAGUGGCGCACGGGUGAGUAAUGUAUAGCUAACCUGCCCUUUAGUGGGGGACAACAGUUGGAAACGACUGCUAAUACCCCAUACUCCUUCUUGCCAUAAGGUGAGUCGGGAAAGAUUUAUUGCUAAAGGAUGGGGCUUUAUUGUAUCAGCUAGUUGGUGGGGUAACGGCCUACCAAGGCUAUGACGCAUGCCUGGUCUGAGAGGAUGAUCAGGCACACUGGAACUGAGACACGGUCCAGACUCCUACGGGAGGCAGCAGUGGGGAAUAUUGCACAAUGGAGGAAACUCUGAUGCAGCAACGCCGCGUGGAGGAUGACGCAUUUCGGUGUGUAAACUCCUUUAUAAGGAAGAUAAUGACGGUACCUUAUGAAUAAGACACGGCCUAACUCCGUG